rnacentral:misc_RNA from 1 species
UGCCGCGGUGAAUACGUUCCCGGGCCUUGUACACACCGCCCGUCACACCAUGAGAGUUUGCAACACCCAAAGUCGGUGGGGUAACCCUUCGGGGAGCUAGCCGCCUAAGGUGGGGCAGAUGAUUAGGGUGAAGUCGUAACAAGGUAGCCGUAGGAGAACCUGCGGCUGGAUCACCUCCUUUCUAAGGAAUUAAUCGGAAACCUGCACAUUCGUUGAAACUGCGUUCAGUUUUGAGGGGUCUACCCUCACUUGUACUUUGAAAACUAAAUAAUAUUUAUUUCUUUAUUCACAUUAAACCGAAACACCGCGUUAUUUGAUUUUAUUAACAAAUU